rnacentral:lncRNA from 1 species
CUGGACCGAUGAUGAGAUCUGGUGGCAUGUAUGAGUCAUUCAUAAAGAUCGCCAAGUAUCCAGAAAUCUGAGGUCAAACAGGGAGUUAUCUCACCCAGCUAGCCUGUGGUAUCCCAUGUAUGGACAUCAGGAUAUACUAAUAUCUCAUUUAUGAUGUUUCUGUUCAUGAACAUCACAUGAUUAUAAAGCAUGACAGACAAAUCCAUACAAAAGAGAUGAGGCAAGUGGAAGAGUAUCACUAAGCUAUCUAGUAAGGAAAACGUGUAUUAGAUACUUUCUAGCAUUUGGCAAGAAUUUCAAGUAGAUAAGAAAUUGACCAGUUUAAUUAAAUCUUAGAGUAGAAAAUGAGACAUUAUUUUUUGUCUAUCACAAUUUCAAAGUCGAGCUGGGCAUGGUGGUGGAUGCUUAUAAUCCCAGCACUCAGGAGGCAGAGGCAGGCAGAUCCCUGUGAGUUCAAACCCAGCCUGGUCUACAUAGUGAGUUUCAGACCAGCUGGGGCUACAAGGAGACCCUGUCUCUAAAAGACCGAAAAAAAAAUAAAAACACCCAACAAUUUCAAAGUCUACCAUAUAUAAAGAAAAUGCAACAAACAUCACUGUAAACAAAAGCCUACGUGUCAAACAGAUGAAAUGUGUGAAGCCUAGAUCAGAGGGAGAGACUGUCUCAAUGUUUCCAUUGCCCUGUCUGCUCUGCGCUCCUCAGAAUGCAUGAACCAGCUGAUGGGCCAUUUUGCUGUGCUGGAGACUUCACGUGAUGUCAGUGUGUUAGUACCAAGUCAAUCGUCUCUGAGCUGGUGGCAGAAUCCCGACAUCUUCAGGAGCUCUGCGAAAGUCAGUGUGAGUAACAGCCAGGCUGCUUGUCUUGGUUUGGGUGGUCCUUGUGGAACUAG